rnacentral:lncRNA from 1 species
CAGCGCAGGAGCUCUCAGACUACCUCAGAUGCCAAGAGCCUGGUUUGAAUACAAGCCUUGCCAUUGUGUGACUUUGGGCCAGUGUUUCCAGCCAUCAUGUCAGAGCUGAGUGGAGUGGCACUGGGUGCCAAGGCAAACACCCAGCCCAGCUGUGCUGGGAAGAACUGAGCUCCAAUGUGUCUUGUGACCCAGCUCCUCCCACCCACCUGGCUGUGUCUCCUAUCCUGCAGAGAUUUCUGGGGGCUGUUUCCAGUAAACAGAGUGCCAGCACCCACUAACCUGUAAAUAGCACCUUGUUCAGGGGGAGUGAUAUUCUUUGACUGUAUGAUUUGGGGCCUUGCUGCUCAAAAUGUGGUCAGCAGCAUUGACAUCACCUGGGAUCUCAUUACAAAUGCAGAAUCUCAGACCUCACUCCAGAUGUGCUGGAUGAGAAUGGCCAUUUUCACAAGCUCCCCAGGAUAUGUGUGCCUGUUAAAGUUUGAGAAGCACUGAUCGGAGGACUUCGGUUAUAAUCCCACCUCCUUCUAUAAGUGAUUAAAGAAAAUUCACUUAUACUCUCCUUUGAACAGCUGUAUGCUUCUCAAUUUCUCUCUCUCUCUCUCUCUCUCACACACACACACACACACACACACUUUAUUUUUCAAUCUCUAUAGACUUGCUUCUUUGUAAGGCUCUCAAUUUCUCCUCCCCAGUGACACAAGCUUGCAUGUGGAUAUAGCUCGUCAUGGUGCCUAUUUAUCUUCAACUUUAUGCAACCUUAGCACUCUUUUACUCAGAAACCUUUUGACUGGGAGAGCAGGGCAAACUCAAAUCCCUACAGAGACCAGGAAGGCAGCAUGGAUGAGUGCAGAAAGCUACAUUUGUUUCAGAAAGGAAUCAGUGUAUAUUCUUUCAGCAGACACAUUUAGUUUGUUUCUUAUAAGCCACUAGAAGAGUCAUUACUUUCACAAAGUCAUAUGCUUAUUCCCAUUUUUCAUAAAAUAUGGCCUAUCUUCAGUUUUCCCAGUUUUGAUACAGAAAAAAAUAUAAGAAAGAUUUUCUAUUUCCUAUAACUAUAAAAGCCCACUAAUAGCACCAGCACAGCCACCCCUGGGCUUCACACAGGGAGUGGCAGGAGCUGUGCAGAUGGAGAGUGCAUACUGGUGUGAAGGGGGCAAUGGAUCUCAGCUCCAGCCAUUGUCUUCAUGCAGGAAUUUGGGACCAUUUUACCGGAUCCUCCCAUUUCUUCAAGAGAAGCCGGAAAUCUGGAUUUCUAUGUGAAAUCUCCCACUUUUUUAUGCUGGCAACUAAUUUUCUUUAAACACUGUGCCAAACAAAACAUACCUGCAGGCCAAAAUCUACACCCUCUGGGCUGGAUUUCAAUGUCUCUUAAACUCUCAACAGAGAGCAUCUUACUGUUUCAGUUCAGGGUAGAUGUCUACCCAUGGUCCCAUCGAGUGGGGUCUGGAUAUGGAAUCAGCUAGAAGAAGCAUAGUCUAUGCCCAUUCUUUCAGCAGGGACUGUGGGCAGGAAACCAUUUCCAAAGAAGCAGGCAUGAGUUGGUGGCCAUACAAAUAUAUAUGUUAUAUUGAUAAAUAUAAAAACAGGAGAUUCUGGGGGACCACAAGUUUUUACAAAUUAGGCUUAUUUUAGGAUAAAUUCACCCUUGUUAGUGUGCAGUUCUGUGAGUUUUGAUAUACAUAUGCAGUCAAGUAACCACUCCCACAAUUAAGAUACAGAAUAAUUCCAUCACCCCCCAAAUUUCUUGUAUGCCCCUUUAUAGCUAGCCCCUGACCCUAACCUCUGGCAAUCACUAAUAUAUUCUCUUUUUCUAUAGGCUUGCUUUUUUUCAAAAUGUCAUAUACAUGGAAUCACACAGUUUAUAGCCUUUUGAGUCUGGCUUAUUUUACUCAGCAUAAUGCCUUUGAGCUUUAACCAUGUAAUUUCAUGUAUCAGUAGUUCAUUCCUAUGUAUUGCUAAGUAAUUUUCCACUGUAUAGAUGCACCACAGUUUGUUUAUCCAUUCACCAAUUAAAGCCAUAAUCAACUUCCAUGUAGAAGUUUGUGUGUGAACACAGUUUUAAUUUAUUUGGGGUUACUACCUAGGAGUGAGAUUCUGGGUCUUAUGGUAAGCAUACAUUUUACUAAGAAACUAUAAAACUCUUUUCCAAAGUGGCUGAACCAUUUGACAUUUCUAACAGCAAUAUUUGAAAGUUCCCAUUGCUCUGUAUCCUCUCCAGUACUUACAUGCUCAGCAUUUUGGUUUGGUCUGGUUUCAUUGUUUCUGAGCUCUUCUGAUAGAUGUGGAGUACACCCCCAUUUUGGAUGAAUUGUGCCAAAUGUGUAGACCAUCCUCAAAAUCUAAGGUCUCAGUAAAAACAAUUAAACAUGAUUUCUGAUAUAAUGUCUUAUCCUUGAAAACCCUGACCCAUCCAUCUUCAGCACAUUCACAUGUGUAAUAAGGUAAGUGAUUUUUAAUUCCACCAGGUUUAAAGACCCCUGACGUGACUUAUUGCCAUUCUGCUACUGAGCCUUGAGAGAUUAUGGUAAGUGCCAAGAAAAAAAAAAUGACUUUGAACUGCUCUUUCACCAGUUAAAAAUAACACUGAAACCAAAUGUAAACAUAAAAGAAGUGGUCAGAUUCGGGUUACAUAUUAACGGUGUUUGGUCAGGCUGGAGCUGAGGCACAGCAGCAGAGAAUGCCUUUUACUUAUCACUGUUUCCAAACCUCCCUACCUGGACUAGGCUUGACUGGAUUUACAAGAGACCUUUUGAAAAGAUGCAGAGAAGGCAAGCAGCACACAUUUCCUGGUAAUAAAUUUUAAAGGUUGCUAAAACAUUCCAGAGAUUUUCACUCAACAUUCCUCUGGCCAACACAUCUGCAAUCUGCCAAUCCUUAAAAAUAGGUGUUUUUGCAUUUUAAUCUCACAAACAUCUUUGAAAAUGCAUUUCUUCUCUGCCCCUGUGUUGGACAAAUCCAGCUUUUUCCAUUUUCUAAAAACCACAGAAAUAUAAUGCUGCUUAAUUCAUACAAGACUGAGCUAACUGGAGUUAAAAUAAAAUUUCUGAGAGUUUGUUUGGCUCACUCUUCCCUACCAGAUGAUUCCAUUCUUAAAACGGUCCUGUGAUUAUAUUCUCUCAUUACAGAGGUGUCCAGAAAAAAAAUAAGGAGUGCAGUUCUGAAAUUAUAUAAAAGCAAAAUUAUUACUCUAAACGUAAGAGCUGUGAUAGAUCGUGUCAUUGACCAUGGUUCUUUUCCCCUGACACACACGUCCCCACCACCCACCCACUGUAUCCAUAUGCCUUUUGCCAUAUGACUUUGCAGCUCUCCCCACUAAAGGGGCAGCCAUGCGAUUUGCUUUGGCCAAUGAAAUGAGGCAGUAGUGGUGGUAUCCUAGUUCUGAGCCUAGGUCUCAAGAAGUCUUAUGUGUUUCUGCUUAUCCUCUUAUACCUCUGCCAUCACCAUGAGCCAAACAUCCCCCAAGUAGCCCACUGGUCCCAGGACAAGGAGGGAGACAUGAAGCAGAGCUCAUCCAGCUGCUGCAGCCCCACUUGACCCAGAGACCUACACUGGGAAGCAGAGCUGCCCAGUCAAGUCCAACCUGGAUGUGUGGAACCCCAGCCAACCUGAUGCAUGAGCAGGAGAUCAGCUUAAUAUUGAAUCCUAGCCUCAAUGCUUUGGAUUUGUGCCAAGAAAAAUAACCUGAUCCCCAGAAUCAUUGAGAAUUGACGGGGGUCCUCAGG